CUCGCUAUCACAAUUAAAAUUAAAUAUUUUAUUUCAUUUGGUUACAAUAGCAACCCAAUUUAUGGACUUGGUCAAUAACACACUGUUUCAUAUGAUAUCUGACAUAUGCCUCUAUAAUGGAGUUAUGAAAGUACUAAACACAGGGUCUUUUGUUUUGCUCAAAGCAUAAUUUAUUAUGCAGGCAGUACCAUCAAAAUGAACUUAGUCAAAUGUCGAACAAUAUAUGUAGAGAGACAAUUUCUUUUUUCUUUCUUCAAUUUUCAAAUUGGUAAUUUUUUUAAGGGCUACAGUUUUAAUUUGGGACUCUUGUACUAGGAAUAUCAUAUCUUUAGCAGAAUUGUGCCACUGAAUUAAAAGGGAACACUUUUUUUUUCUAGGUGCACAUGAUGCAAAGUCUAGGAUGGUGUGUAGGCUGUUUGUCAACAUCUGAAACCCACAUGUAUUUCAGGGAAAUUCUUGUCAGGACCCAAGACUGAAAAAAGACUGAAAAACUGCCUUUUAACAUAGACAUCAUUCAUGCCAAUGGAUAAACUAGAAACAUCCAAACAAUAUUACAUCAGAAUCAUAAGAGACUGUCAAUUGUUAUCCCUCACUGUGGCAGAAACACCUAAAUAAACAUUGAAAUGAUAAA